CCGAGUUUACAACUCCCAAACCCCUGUGAACAUACCACUUGUUGCCUCGGCGGAUCAGCCCGCUCCCGGUAAAACGGACGGCCCGCCAGAGGACCCCUAAACUCUGUUUCUAUAUGUAACUUCUGAGUAAACCAUAAAUAAAUCA
rnacentral:misc_RNA from 1 species